UUAGGAAUCUUCCACAAUGGGCGAAAGCCUGAUGGAGCGACGCCGCGUGAGGGAUGAAGGCCUUAGGGUUGUAAACCUCUAAAAGAGGGACGAUAAUGACGGUACCUCUUGAAUAGCACCGGCUAACUCCGUGCCAGCAGCCGCGGUAAUACGGAGGGUGCAAGCGUUAUCCGGAAUCACUGGGCGUAAAGGGCGCGUAGGCGGUCUGUUAAGUCCGAUGUUAAAUCCCGGGGCUCAACCCCGGAUAAGCGUUGGAUACUGGCAUGCUAGACGGUUGGAGAGGCUAGUGGAAUUACCAGUGUAGCGGUGGAAUGCGUAGAUACUGGUAGGAACACCCAUUGCGAAGGCAGCUCGCUGGACAACACGUGACGCUGAGGCGCGAAAGUGUGGGGAGCAAACC
rnacentral:rRNA from 1 species